ensembl:snRNA U6 U6 spliceosomal RNA
AUGCUCACUUCAGCAGCACAUAGACCAACAGUGACACCACGCAGAAAAGAUUAGCAAGGCUCCCUUGCAAAGAUGGCAUGCAAAUUUGUGAAGCAUUCUAUGUUUCC